AAAUGAGAAUAGAAAAACCUCUGGCAAGAUUAAGAAAAACAGAGAACUCAAAAUUGUAAAUAAAAAGUUUUUAGUUUUCCAAAAGUUUGAUAAGAACAAAUAUAAAAUUAGUUUUAUAUAACCGUGUGUAUGCAAAAAUGUAGAACAGAAUAGCAUAUAUUUAUCACUGUAUUGUGCAUUUAUACAUAUACAUAAAAUGUAUUUUAUAUAUGAAUACACAUACAUGUCACUCUACGCUCCUAGCAGAUAUUAUUAACUAUUCCAAACACUCUUUUUUGACUGAUUCAUUCUUCAAUAAAAAGUUAAUAUGGUUACUUCUGGAUGGUAGGAUUAAGUUAACUUUUUACUUUUUUCUUGACAAUUUUUAUUUCAUUUCAGUUUUUUUUUUUAGUUGAUCACAUUAUUAUUUUUAUGAUUCGGAAAAAUAGGGCUUAUUUAUUUAUUUUUUAAUAAAUAUCACCUCCUCUGGAGUGAGCUCUUCUGGUCUGCCCUCUGUAGACGAGUUGAUCACACUCUACUCUGUAUAAGAACCUUGUCUCACAUAUCACGACGGCCAGAAUUUUCAGAAGGUAUUAUUUUUAUCUAUUGGCUGUGCCUGCCACUAAGACCAAACGUCUUAGGAUGAGGAUCAUGUCUCCAAGUACAGUGACAUAAAAAAGAUUGAAGACAGUGAUUGGAAAUGCCCUAAACGAGGCAGUGGCUCAUUUGAAAUAAUCAAAGAAAAAAGGGGAAAAAAUUGAAAGCGGUUGUUAGUCCUUUUAUAUCUAGCACGUGUAGGACAAAAAACCCAAAAAUUAUUGUGUUGCAAGAUGGUCUUUUUUAAGAGCAGUUUUUGGUUUACAGCCAAAUCGGGAGGAAGGUACAGAGGUUUGCCCAUAUCCCUGCCCAGACACAUCACAUACAUAGCCUUCCUUGUUGGGAACAUCAUUCACCGGAAUGGUACUUUUUUGUUUGAACCAAGGAUGAACAUAUAUUGACCUUAGGGUUCACUGUUGACCUUAGGGUUGUAUUUUCUGUGGGUUUAGACAGAUGUAUAAUGACAUGCAUCUAUAAUUUUUUUUUGGCUGUACCCACAGCAUAUGGAAGUUCCUGGGUCAGGGAUCAAAUCCAAGCUGCUGCUGUGACCUAUACCAUAUAGCAAUGUUAGAUCCUUACCCCACUGCAUUGGGCUGGGGGUCGAACCCUUGUCUCCCCAGUGACCUGAGCCAUUGCCAGGUCCUUAACCUGCUGUACCGUAGUGGGAACUCUGACAUGUAUCUAUACUCUUAAUAUCAGACAGAGUAUUUUUACUGCCCCAAGACUCCUCUGUGCUCUAUCUAUUCACUCCCACUCCCCAGUCACUUAUCUUUUUAUGUUUCCAUAGUUUUGCCAAAUAAACAUCUAUUUACAUGCUUAAUGAACUUGUAAGGAAAUAAGAAAAAAUCUAGUCAAACCGCUUGAGUUUAAAUCAUGGUUCUGCCUCUUAAAAUUUUGGGCAGUUUUAAGAAUCUAGCUUCAGUUUCCUCAUCUGUAGCAGAGGUAAUAUUGGUACUUAUAGGGUUAUUGUGAGGAAUAAAUGAGUUAAAAUAUGUGAAGUUCUUAGAAAUAAUGCCUUGUGCCUAAUGAACAAUCAGUGGACUACUAGUCUUGAAAUUAUCUAAUACUGUUACUACAGUCAUUUCUGAAAGAGAAGUGUUAAAAUCUCCUUUAUGAUUGUAGAUUUACUAACGUUUCUUUAUAGUUCUGUCAAUUUUUCCCUUUUGUAUUUUAAAAAAAGACUAUAUAGUAGACUGUACUAUUGGUGUGUUCAAAUUUAGCAAAUUUAUCUUCCUAGUGAACUGUUCCUUUUGUCUUUUUCUUGCCUAUCCUUAUAGCCUGGUUCCCCCCCCCCCAAUAUUUUCUGAAUGCCUGACCCAUUGGCUGUUCACAUGCUCGGUGUGAGUGCUGCAGCGGGUUCAGAGGUCCAAAGGUGUGGCAGUUUGUGUCACCUCUGCUCCCACAGUAGGUACCCUUGUGGGUUGGCCUGACCCUCCACUCGUGGCCCAAAGAUCUGGGAAGUGGUCCCUCGGUGUUCAGAGCCUCUCUCCCUCAGGGAGGUCAGUGGGACAAACCACUGUCCCCAUUGCUUCCCUUCCCCACUGGUACUCAUUUCCCUUCUUGAUCGUCUAGUUUAAAUUCCACUCACACUCAGCUGGAAUCUCUGUAGGUCUCUGUGGCUUGCCUGGUGGUGGGACCCAAGUCUUCCUUCCUGUGGGGGCUGAGCUUCCAGGCCAGUGUUGCUGCAUGUGCCUCUUUGCGGUUAUAACCGGUCAGGGGGGCAUCAGAUGGCAUCCCUGGUGUCCAUAUAGAUCCCCUGAAUUCCAUAAACAUUCUCCGUGGUGCAGAAGCAGCCCAGCCUCCUGCUGAUCAGGGCCAAUUUACACCUAUGAAGAGCGUGACUGCUUUUUUUGCCUGUUGGCCUCUGGGCUCAAGGAGUUCCAAAUGUUCAGGUGGCAGUUAUAGCUUGUGGUUCAGUGGAACUUUUAAUGUGUCUCCUGGCAAGAGCAUGUCCUGUUCGGAGACCAGAAAUGAACCAUGCAGAGCCCAGAGUUAUGGGACAGAAAGCACAAGUCCCCAGUGAGUCCUUGGGAGUGCUGGUAAGUGGGGAUGCGCCACCUCUUGGCUCUUGGACUCAUGUACUCUUCCUUUUGGGGCACAGAGCCACGUGGUAGAGGUCUCGGAUAUCAUGUAUGUCCUGCAUCUGGAGGGGUGGCAACCAUCGUGGCCGAAUAUUGUUUCCUGGGUGUGCUUGCUGUGCUUGCAGCAGGCCAUUCCUGCAUUCUGUGAGGCUGGCUGCUUCUGGCUGGUGUGGUAUUAGGGGGCCAGUGGAUCCCUUGGUCUCCAGACCACGUCAUACCUCUUCUACUGUGAAAGGGAUCCCCCGGUCAGAUGCUUCGUUAUGUGGGGAUUUCAUGCCUGUGGAUCAAGCAUUCUGUAAGCCCCCAGAGAGUGGUGCUGUCUGAGCCUUUGAGGGCAGGAAGGGGAAACCACUACCUUCCUUUGAGAAAGAGCCAGUACCUCUUCCAUGACAGGAGUGCCCAAUAUAACUGACUUUCUUUUGAGGAACCAGUUGGUCUUCUUGAGGAAUAGGGCCGUCAGGGCCAGAUCAUGAAAGGCAUGGCAACCAGCAGGUUGAAUUUUUUUUUUUUUUUUGCCACACCUGUGGUGUAUGGAAGUUCCCUAAUCAGGGAUUGAAUCCGAGUCUCAGCUGUGACCUACGCCAGAUUGAAUUUUUCUUAUAUGAGUGAUGGGAGUACUUGGGAGGUUUUAUGCAAGAGGGGCCACAGGCAGACUUAGGAUGUAGGAGGAUCCUGGUGGCUGUGUGGAAAACAGAUGGAGGGAGAGAGGGAGUGGAGGCAAGCCUGGGAAACGGUAGCCAGUGACGUACUUGGAAGUAGGAUCACCUGGUUAGUCUUUCCAGGGAAAAUUUCAGAGCCAUAGGUCAAGGGUUUACAUAAUGUCGAGGACUGGGGAGAUUAUCCCAAUACUAGCGUUUCUAGAAGUGAGAACUAUAGGUGACACUUCAAGGGAAGCUUUCAAGAUCAUUUACGUCUAAAACAAAUACUCAGUGUGAACUCUAUAGAUUUCCAUCUGACUUGAUCUCCUGUCCAUGAUGCCAAGAUUUUCUAAUGAAUUCAGCAUUUAGAAGAGAGGAAAUUUCUGUUUAAGUUCCUGUAGGCCUUAGAUGGAAAGAAUGUGGAGUAUAAAUGAGACUAGACUGUAGAAAAUAGGCAUAAGGAAUGUAAUAAUUUAGGAAUAUGAUAAGGAAUACAAUAACUAAUCAAGCCGAAGUGUUCCACAAUUAUCCAGGGGAGGGAAGAGACUUGAAGGCAAAUCCUGAGACAAAGUUAAGAACUGGCUGGACAUGACCUUGCUUUGGUUUCAUCUGAGUGGUUCCAACUUCUUUCAUAUGAAUGACCUCUCUUUUCCAUGUGCUUCCAGAUCUCCUCAUUAUGAAAUUAGUGUUUUAGAAGAGACAAAAUUCCCUCAAAGUUCUCCCCUGGGACUCAGGAAUUGAGAAUAUGGAAUUAAGAGUAGAAGGUAAUUUAAGGAACAAGGAGAUAGAAUAGCUAUCACAAAUUCUCCCAUAACAAUCUAGUAAUCCUAUUUGCUGUUUAGAGUAUUUUCCAUUUUUUCUCUUCUUCAUUCCCCUCUUCCUCCUCCCCCUUGUUUGUCUGUUUAUCAGAGUCCACGUUAGAAUAUUCUAGAAGACAGUCCCAGGGUUUGGAUGUCAUUUGAGGUACUCUGAGGAAAAAAAGUUCAGGACAUCAAAGAGUAGAAGAAAUAACCUGAAUUUUAAUUUACUGAAAUGGAAGUCAGAAAAAUAAACUGAUAGUGAAGAGUCAGCAGUUUUAGCUGUAAGUAUGCUUAUUUUGGUUCAAUUUAGGCUUGGAAAAUUCUGGAAUAGUGAAGACUAAAAAAAAAAAAAUCUGGAUUUAGAAUUAAGGCAAGGAAAUGAAAAAAGGGCAUCUUGACCAACAGGAUUUUUUUUUUUUUUUAUUCCUCUGAAAUCUUGAAAUCAUUUAGUGGCAACUCUUUUAUUAAUAUGUGGAGGAAAAAGGGGACAGACUGUAGAGUCUGAGGGUAUUCUUGUACCCGAAUUUACACCUAGCUGACCUAACAGACGGGUGUUCCGUUAGCCUGGGGACUCAUAGGCAAUUUAAAUGUUGUCUACAACUUUGAAAUGGGGGAAAAAAAAAAAAAUUAGAGUCCCUUCAGUGGACUACUAGGUGUUACAUAGCGCCCCCUUCUGGAUUGUCUGCUCUUCUUGGGGUUUACCUCUUUCAUUGUCUUUGAACUUGUACGGUCUUAGCAUUCCUGACUGCCUGUAUUUGUCUGUCUGUGCUUGAUCCUCUUUUGAAUUUAUUGCAGUAUCUUAUUAGUUACCUCAGUAAGCAAUAAGUUACAUAAAAAUUGUCGUGUAGACGAUUAAAAAAAGACAAGUUGUUUGCUGUAUAGUCACAGGCGCAAAGCCUGACUGUAAUUUUCUUGAGAGAGACUAGGACUCGUGGAGCUGAAAGGAUGACCCAGGAGCCAGAAGGGAGGCAGCAUGCUCAAGAGUUCCAUACCUGGCGUGAAGUGACCACGUGGCCUUGGUCAAGUCAUUUAAUCCCUUGCUUUGCUUUACUUAGUCUUAAAAUACAAAUCUUUCACACCUCCUGGACAGAGGUUUUGUAGAUCACAUGUGACUAGAUAGGAACGUUCAUAUAGGAACCUUUACCAUUUGGCAUCGCAUGUACUAGAUGGUGAAUUCCUUGAUGACCUUGUGUCCCAUUGCGUAUAUUGAAUGUACGCCGAAGGACUAGGUAGUGUUGGAGGAUUAGUUGGACUGGGUAAUCCGAUUUAAAGGCUCUUCUAACUUGUAUAUUCUAUGAUUUUUUUUUUUCAUUCUGUCUUUAGAUUCACAACUACAGAUGAAAUACGGCCACAUACAAAAAUAGUAGCUUAGCAAAUGCUUAUUGCUUUGAAUGGAAUUUCUUUUUGGGGUUUCCAUCCCUAAGAGGAUUUCUCUGUUAAGAAUGAGGAUUGAUUCCAUUAGCAUUUCAGGUGUCAGAAACUUCAUUAUUAAAGGAAAUACAAUCUAAGUCAUAGAGGUUCAUUUUAAGGCAUCCUAACAGACAGAUUACGGUGUAAGAAAAUCAGUGGAAUUCCAACUACAUUCAUGCCCAGUGCUCUAAAAUAUGUGACAUCUAGGAGUUCCCUUCGUGGCUCAGCGGUUAAUGAACCCAACUAGGAUCCAUGAGGAUGCAGGUUUGAUUCCUGGCCUUGCUCAGUGGGUUAAGGAUCCCGAGUUGCCGUGAGCUGUGGUGUAGGUUGCAGGUUCGGCUCAGACCCUACUUUGCUGUGGCUGUGGUGUAGGCUGGCGGCUAUAGCUCCUAUUAGACCCCUAGCCUGGGAACCUCCGUAUGUUGCCGGUGUGGCCCUGAAAAGCAAAAAUAAAAAUAAAAAAUAAAAAA
rnacentral:lncRNA from 1 species